ensembl:rRNA 5S_rRNA 5S ribosomal RNA
UUUUUGGACUAUGUGCUGAAUGCGCCAGAUCUCAUCUGAUCUCACAACCUAAGCAGGUUAGGCCUGGUUAGUACUUGGAGGAGAGACUGCCUGGGAAUAUCAGGUGUUGUAGAGC